rnacentral:rRNA from 1 species
CGAUACCGAGUAGCUUGCUAUUCGGGAAAGUGGCGCACGGGUGCGUAACGCGUAUGCAACCUACCUCAAUCAGGGGGAUAGCCCGAAGAAAUUCGGAUUAACACCGCAUAAAAUCACAGUAUAGCAUUAUACAAUGAUCAAAUAUUUAUAGGAUUGAGAUGGGCAUGCGUGUCAUUAGUUAGUUGGCGAGGUAACGGCUCACCAAGACCACGAUGACUAGGGGAUCUGAGAGGAUGACCCCCCACACUGGUACUGAGACACGGACCAGACUCCUACGGGAGGCAGCAGUAAGGAAUAUUGGUCAAUGGAGGCAACUCUGAACCAGCCAUGCCGCGUGCAGGAAGACAGCCCUCUGGGUCGUAAACUGCUUUUAUUCGGGAAUAAACCUACUUACGUGUAAGUAGCUGAAUGUACCGAAGGAAUAAGGAUCGGCUAACUCCGUGCCAGCAGCCGCGGUAAUACGGAGGAUCCAAGCGUUAUCCGGAUUUAUUGGGUUUAAAGGGUGCGUAGGCGGCUUAUUAAGUCAGGGGUGAAAGACGGUGGCUCAACCAUCGCAGUGCCCUUGAUACUGAUGAGCUUGAAUACACUAGAGGUAGGCGGAAUGUGACAAGUAGCGGUGAAAUGCAUAGAUAUGUCACAGAACACCGAUUGCGAAGGCAGCUUACUAUGGUGUCAUUGACGCUGAGGCACGAAAGCGUGGGGAUCAAACAGGAUUAGAUACCCUGGUAGUCCACGCCCUAAACGAUGAAUACUCGCUGUUAGCGAUACACAGUUAGCGGCUAAGCGAAAGCGUUAAGUAUUCCACCUGGGGAGUACGGUCGCAAGAUUGAAACUCAAAGGAAUUGACGGGGGCCCGCACAAGCGGAGGAGCAUGUGGUUUAAUUCGAUGAUACGCGAGGAACCUUACCCGGGCUUGAAAGUUAGUGAAUCAUUUAGAGAUAGAUGAGUGAGCAAUCACACGAAACUAGGUGCUGCAUGGCUGUCGUCAGCUCGUGCCGUGAGGUGUUGGGUUAAGUCCCGCAACGAGCGCAACCCCUAUGUUUAGUUGCCAGCACGUUAAGGUGGGGACUCUAAACAGACUGCCUGUGCAAACAGAGAGGAAGGAGGGGACGACGUCAAGUCAUCAUGGCCCUUACGUCCGGGGCUACACACGUGCUACAAUGGAUGGUACAGAGGGCAGCAAGCUGGCAACAGCAAGCAAAUCUCAAAAAGCCAUUCACAGUUCGGAUAGAGGUCUGCAACUCGACCUCUUGAAGUUGGAUUCGCUAGUAAUCGCGUAUCAGCAAUGACGCGGUGAAUACGUUCCCGGGCCUUGUACACACCGCCCGUCAAGCCAUGGAAGUUGGG